UAACCCUUGGGCUGCUGUGAUUCUCCUCCUUCACCUCUUCCUCUCGACACAUCCUCCCAACUCUUAAGGUCUAAAUUGAGGAUGAGCAGAUAUUGAAAUGGCUGACUUAUUGUGCCGAGGUGCCAAAGGAGACCUGGAAGUGUCAAAAGGUCCACCACCAACUGACAGAAGAAGUUAAGAUGCUGGACUGAGAAGCAGUGGCUCCAUGUGUGAAACAAGCUUUGCAUUGCUGAAUAUAUAAGAACAGAAAACAUUUGGGUUUCUGUUCUGCUUACAGAGUAACGUCUCAGAGAGGAGGAAAUGCAGUGCCGCAUUUAGGGGCGUCCAUUUUCCCAGCUAAUAUUUGCACAUUGCAGUUUCCUUCUGGAGAUACAGCACGUCCCAGGAGCAGCUCUCUGUGUUAGUCCCAUUUCAGACUCUAUUAAACACCACACAUGAAAGAAGUUUCAGCUAAACACUGCAAGUGCUGGAUUUUUUUUAAAAAAAUUUGGUUCACCCCCUCUUAUUAUCAAAUUUAUAACCCUCAGGCAGUUUUGUCACGUCUGCCUUCUCUUUAUAAUGGAAAGGCAGCAUUCUCCCUAUGGUUAAGGUUGCAACUAGCUUUUAAAGUCCUAUUUUUGCCCUUCUUUAACUUUGGCUUGGAAAUCGGUUUGGCCUAAAAAUUUCCAUACUUUGAAGGAAAAGAAGGAUAAUUAAUUUUCUUCAAACAGUGUAUAAUCAAACUGUUUUUGAUUUAGAGGUCAUUUAAAAAUUACCCUGAUUGGAAAUUUGCUUAUUUAAUGUUUUGUUACCUCUGACUCAAAAGCUGCUUAUUACAACCUCUUCAAACUUUUCCUGUACUUAGGUCCAUUUGAUAAUUUUCAGCCGCCUUAAUUAAAAAUUAAAAAAAACCCCAAAC